GACGUAGGGCGCAAGCGUUGUCCGGAAUUACUGGGCGUAAAGGGCGCGUAGGCGGCCUGUUAAGUCGAACGUGAAAUCCCCGGGCUCAACCCGGGAACUGCGUCCGAUACUGGCAGGCUUGAAUCCGGGAGAGGGAUGCGGAAUUCCAGGUGUAGCGGUGAAAUGCGCAGAUAUCAGGAGGAACACCGGUGGCGAAGGCGGCUCUCUGGGACGGUACUGACGCUGAGACGCGAAAGCGUGGGGAGCGAACAGG
rnacentral:rRNA from 1 species